GGCCUUAUAGCUCAGCGGUUUAGAGCAUACGAUUGCAGUCGCGAAUUCAUCGUAGGGUCCCGUGUUCAAGUCACGGUGAGGCCU